rnacentral:rRNA from 1 species
GAUGAACGCUGGCGGCGUGCCUAAUACAUGCAAGUCGAACGGGUGUAGCAAUACAUCAGUGGCGCACGGGUGAGUAACACGUGGGAACGUGCCCUUCACUACGGGACAACGUCGGGAAACUGACGCUAAUACCGUAUGAUGUCUCCGGACCAAAGAUUUAUCGGUGAAGGAUCGGCCCGCGUCUGAUUAGCUAGUUGGUGAGGUAAUGGCUCACCAAGGCGACGAUCAGUAGCUGGUUUGAGAGAAUGAUCAGCCACACUGGGACUGAGACACGGCCCAGACUCCUACGGGAGGCAGCAGUGAGGAAUCUUGGACAAUGGGCGCAAGCCUGAUCCAGCCAUGCCGCGUGAGUGAUGAAGGCCUUAGGGUUGUAAAGCUCUUUUGCCGGGGAUGAUAAUGACCGUACCCGGAGAAUAAGCCACGGCUAAAUUCGUGCCAGCAGCCGCUGUAA